GGGCCCGCACAAGCGGUGGAGUAUGUGGUUUAAUUCGAUGCAACGCGAAGAACCUUACCAGGGUUUGACAUCCUGCGAAUCUCUUGGAAACUUGAGAGUGCCUUCGGGAGCGCAGUGACAGGUGGUGCAUGGCUGUCGUCAGCUCGUGUCGUGAGAUGUUGGGUUAAGUCCCGCAACGAGCGCAACCCACGUCUUUAGUUGCCAGCAUUUAGUUGGGCACUCUAGCGAGACCGCCGGUGAUAAACCGGAGGAAGGUGUGGAUGACGUCAAGUCAUCAUGCCCCUUACAUCCUGGGCUACACACGUACUACAAUGCUACGGACAAAGGGCAGCAAACUCGCGAGAGCUAGCAAAUCCCAUAAACCGUGGCUCAGUUCAGAUCGUAGGCUGCAACUCGCCUACGUGAAGGGGAAUCGCUAG
rnacentral:rRNA from 1 species